UUGAACGCGUUUACUCCGCACUUUUUCUCUGUUUCUUUUGGUAAAAGCUUUGCUCAGUUUUCACCUGUUACAACUUAAGAGAUAUAGUGAGACAACUCAUUCACCAUUGUUAAUCAAACCAUACAAAGCAAAGUUUUCUUUUUUUUUCCUUUUCUCAAGAUUUACAUGGCUUGGUCUGCUGUCUCAUCUGUUCUCCUAAGAAUUAGCGAUUUGAUAGCUCAAGAGGCAACAUCCCUAUGGGGUGUAGAGGAGCAAGUUGAUCGUUUGCAAAGGGAGCUGAGAUGGAUGCAAUGCUUCUUAAUUGAUGCUGAUAAAAGACAGGGUGAGAGCGAAAGGAUUCGUCUUUGGGUCUCUGAAAUCAGAGAUCUUGCUUAUGAUGCUGAGGAUGUUGUCGAGACUUUUGUUCUGAGGAUCGGGUCCAAAAGGAAAGGAGGUUGUUUUAAUGUCGUCAAAAGAUCUGCUUGUAUCCUGAAAGAAGGAUGGAUGCUUCACAAAAUCGGGUCGGAGAUGGAGGAAAUCAUAACCAAAAUCACUGAACUGACGCGACGCUUGCAAACGUAUGGCAUAAAGGAAUUAAGUAAUGGAGAAGGAUUAAGUUAUUCCCAUGAAAAGCAGGAGUGGAGGCGGUCUUAUCCCCAUGUUGUUGAAGAUAAUAUUGUUGGAUUCAGUGAAAAAAUUAAGGAAUUGGUCUCGGUUGUUACUGAUGAGACCGGAAGGAGUUACCGGGUUGUUUCCAUAUGUGGAAUGGGUGGUCUAGGUAAGACUACUCUUGCUAAAAUGGUUUACCACCACAGCCUGGUGAGAGGUCAUUUCAAUCGCUUGGCUUGGGUCUAUGUCUCUCAACAAUGCCAGAGAAGAAAAGUUUGGGUUGACAUUUUAUCUGGUCUUGGUAUUAUGGAUAAGGAGGACAGAGAUAAGAGGGAUGAAGAUUUAGUAGAGAAGUUGUUUAGCUUCUUGAAGGAUAAAAAAUGUUUGGUGAUAAUUGAUGAUCUCUGGAGCAUUCAGGCUUGGGAUACCAUAAAAGCUGCGUUCCCACUGAGGGAGACAAGUAGCAAGAUAUUGCUCACUUCCCGCAACAAAGAGGUAGCUUCACACGUAGAUAGAAGAGGUUACCUGUAUGAAUUGGAGUAUUUAAAUGAAGAAAACAGUUGGGAAUUGUUUCAGAAAAUUGCAUUUCCCGACAGAGAUUCUUCAGGAAAUGGAGUUGAUCCGAAAAUGGAAGUGUUAGGGAAGGACAUGGUUAGACAUUGUGCAGGGCUGCCCUUAGCCAUCAUUGUGUUGGGAGCAAUUUUGGCUGCAAAGAAUUCAUUAAAUGAAUGGCAAAUGGUGUCUGAAAAUGUCAAGUCAUACUUGAAGAGUGGCAAAGGCCAAGGAAUUGAUGAUGUGUUGGAAUUGAGUUAUGAGGAUCUGCCACCCUAUUUAAGACCAUGUUUCCUUUACUUAAGUCAUUUUCCUGAAGAUUAUGAGAUUGCUGCAGAUAGAUUGAUUCAAUUAUGGGUGGCAGAAGGUAUUGUUUCAUCGUCAAAGCAUAAUGAAGGAAAUGGAGUUAUAGAAGAUGUGGCAGAAGGUUACUUAAUUGAGCUUGUAGAAAGAUGCAUGAUUCAAGUAGGAAAAAGAGAUGCAUUGUUAAAGAUUAUAACUUGUCGCAUGCAUGAUCUCAUGAGAGAUCUCUGCUUGUCAAAGGCCAAACAAGAAAAUUUUCUCUACGUCAUUGAUCACUCAAGUAAAAAUCAAUGUUGCACUAAUUCUUUCUCAUCUACGAUUCGUGGUGUCCACAGGAUUAGUGCACAUGUAUUUCCUCGACUCCAAUGCAUUAAAAGUCUCCAUCUUAGAUCACUUUUGUUCUUCUUUGAGAUCAGGUCUUCCAAGGAAAUUAAAGCACUUACGAAUCCAAAGAUGUUAAAGAUGGUGAAUUACAUUUAUGAACAUAUAAAGGAUGGGAACGUUAACCUAGUUUCCCGUAUCUUCAUAUUUCGGCUACAAUAUAUGUUGUGGAGAUCUUGGGCAUACAUGUUCAACAAUUUCACAUUGCUCAGAGUCCUAUAUUUUGAGAGGAAAAUAUGUGAUGCGGGAGUGAAUUUAUCAAGUGAUAUAGGUAAUCUAAUCCACUUGAGGUUCCUGAGUUUAAAGGGUUUGGAAUUCUAUAUCUCAAAGUUGCCAUCAUCUCUAGGCAACUUAAGAUGUUUGCAAACCUUAGAUCUAAGAGUUAAUAGAUUUAUGAGGCUAAACGGAACCUUUGGUAGACCUGUUCAUGUACCUAAUGUUAUAUGGAGGAUGAAACAAUUAAGACAUCUAUAUCUCCCCAAGCAUUGUGACCCCGAAACCAAGUUGAAGUUGUGUACUUUGAGAAACCUUUUAACACUUGUGAACUUCAACACGAGGAAUUGUUAUAUUGGAGAUCUUCUCAACAUGAUAAGUCUUAGAAAGUUGAAGAUAUUUGGACCAUUCAAUGUUGAAGAUUUUGAGGAUUUGGGUGAGAAUAUUCCUCCUAUACUUGGAACUAAUACUACUCUUCGGUCCUUAUUUAUUAGGAGUUAUGAAAGAAUUGAUCCAAGGCAUUUGACACGCCUCCUCUCCGAUUGUGCUAAUAUCUAUGAGUUGAGUUUAGUUCUAAGUAUAGGGAAGUUACCAGAGCACCACCAUUUCUCUUCAAAUAUUGCUUACAUAUACUUAUCUCGGUGUGAACUUGAUGAAGAUCCAAUGCCAACACUAGGGAAGCUGCCUAACUUAAGGAUUCUCCAAUUCGAUGAUGAAGCUUUCAUUGGAAAGGAAAUGGUUUGCUCUGCACAAUGUUUUGCUAAACUUGAUUCUCUAUGCCUUGGUCGGAUUUACAAUUUGGAGGAGUGGAAGGUGAAUGAAGGAGCCAUGCCUGCUCUACGCGAUUUGGAGAUCAAUGGCUGCUUAAAACUAAAGAUGCUUCCAGCUGGAUUGAGGUUCAUUACAACACUCCAGGAAUUGAAGAUUAAUUGGAUGCCAAAGGCAUUCAAAGAUAAAGUUGUGGAAGGAGGAGAAGAUUUCUACAAAAUCCAACACGUUCCUUCUAUCAUAUUUCAAAAUUGAGAUGGGAUAUAACGAUGCUUGUCAGGGAAAAGAAAUUGAGUAUUGUGGAUGGAUUCAGAUGCAUCAACAUAAGGAAAAAUGGAACCCUUUUCCAACUAGCUUUCUUAAACCAUGACUAACAGCUGCUGUAUUUCGAUUUUGGAUGUAUAUAUUCGAUAAUCUUUUGGUUAAAGAUUGAGUUUUGGAAGCUAAAUUUGUAUCUUGAUCAUGGUUAACUUUAUAAGUUUAUGAUAUAAUAUAAUUAAGAGGCAAAUAGAGAUCAAAGAUAAUCAUCUCAUUUUUGUUAUCCUAAAUUUUAAUGCCUUAGACCUUGAGCAUAAAUCAGUAGUUCUCUUAUGCUGAAUCUUGAUUUUUUGUUUCUUUUUCCUUGCAUUGGGUUCUCUUUCUGAUUUGAUCUUGUUAGGAUUUGAAUUCUUAUCACUAAAAUUUUUUAUUUGCAUUAUUAUGUUUUUGUUGCAAGACUGAGUUUUUGUCUGAAAGAAUUUCAACAUGCUGUAUUCAACAAUCAAAUCAAGUUCCAUUGGGAUCUUACACAAAAUUUCAGCUAUUUUCGUGACACACAUAUAUAUAUAUAUAUACAUAUUCACUUUUUCCUUUUGGGAAAAGAAGGCUCCUUGCAUUUCUUCACAUGCUCUUCAUAAGAGGACCAAGUAAAUUUGUUUCAACAAUAAACAACUGUGGAAAUCGUCUGGUAUCUUCUAUAUAUUGUAUGGAUUGUUGUUGACAUGGGAUAUGGAAAAGUGGGAGAUUUGACAAUGGCACUCUCUGAUCUGCUUUGGCAUGAUAUGGUAGCAGGUCCUGAUACACACAGGUUAUGUGUUCCAUAUAAUAACCGAAACCAAAGUUCAACAAGGGGGCUAGAGAAGGGGUCAUGCUGCUAGGGAUUUUGGUGCUUAUUAUUCCUGCCGCACAUCCUUGCAAGAGCCUCGUGUAUGCCUUGUUUUUGCUUCUUUCUGAGUGAUUUUGGAAAAAAGGUCUUGAACAAGAAGCCAGUAGGUCGCACUGCUGUUUAUGUUAUUUAGAAAGAACAUGAUGUUGAUGACUCAUUAUUUGAUCUAGUAAAUAUUUUCACUAUUCUGAAAUGAAGCAUUACAUCCAUGGAAUGACUGUUUGAUACCUAUAUAUUUUUAACAACAAUCUGUAUGUUCACAUAUAAACACACAGAAAACAUGCUAAAUUAUGGAACUUCAUGGUGUUUAGGAUAAUACUAUCACUAGUCAAUUCUUCAGGUGAGUCUAUUUCAAUGAUGCUGUAAUUAAUAGCAACUAUCGAAGAAAAUAAUCUGACCUUCCCUCAAAUUGAUUCUUCUUACAUGGAGUAUUGCAUAUUGAAGCAUGUCCAAUUUCCCUUUCACUUCUGUAUUAUUCUGGUUUUUUUUUUUUUUUUUCAAGAGGUUGCAAGAAACAUAUGUACAAUUUUACUGUUAUUUAGUAAGAGUCAUUUUGGAGGCAGUUCUGAAUAAUCAAUAUUCACCUAAUAGGGAAAGAAAUAGAAUGGAUGAGAUGAGAUAGGGAAGCAUGGAUUCUUGGGAUUAUAAUUUAUGAUGAAAUACGAAACCUGAAGGGGGAAACAAAUGGUGAAAACAGGCAGUGAAACUGAAUACUGGUUGGAAACCUGUGAAUUUUAAAAGUCAAAACUUUUGGUAACAAAGUCCUCUGUUUAUUUAUUUUGUUGGAAGUAUAUGAACCUACUUUUUCUGAAUAAAGUUCAAUAGGAAAAACUAUGCAUCUAAGCUUUCUGGAAAUAUUUCCUCCAGUUCCCAUUUGCUUCCUGCAGAUUUUUGCGUGCUUCUAACUUGUCAAAACAGUUUCGUGUAACGUUUUGGAAUUUGAUUUAGUACUAAAUACAUCGGUUCCUGGUAAAAAGUCUUGGAGAUUGUUUAUUGCUAAUGUUCUAUAUUUUAGCUUUCCAUUAUUCACUUAUGCCUUCUCAUGUCAUUAUAUAAGUGAGCAUUCCAGUUGCCUCUUCCUAACAAUGUUGUGAUACUGUUUCCUGGUACAAUUUCGCAUGCACGUUGUUAUUCAAUAUGCAGCUAUUGCAUAGUAUUGCGUUUUUAGCUCAUCCAGUUAUGCAUGAACAUAUUUAUCUCUGAUCAGCAAGCUGAGAAAACUUUAAACUGAUUAUUGAAAUAAUCAAUCUGUCUUUUGCAGAACAUCUAGCUUUAACAAGAAAUUAAACUUUCUAAUGAUUGAAAUCAGUUAUAAAAUCUCCUAGUCUAAAGUGUAGAAUUUUAAUCUCUGACCAGAAAACUUGGAAUAUGUCAUCUGCAGAGCACUUCUGUUUGCAUAUAUUAUACAAUUGAGGUUACUAUAAUCUUUAGACCGAUCUGUGAAGUUUCAUAUGAUGCAAAAUUGAUAGUUAAUUUCUCUUUAUUUCACCAUUUUUGCUUCAAGUACCAGGAAUCAUAGAUAUCCCUAGUCCUUGAAUGAACUGCUUUCCGCUUUCCUCUACCCACAUUACUAGAACCUUCAAUGAACUUCCAUUUUGGCAUGCAAAUCUGGAUUAAGUUUCCCAUACUUGAUAUAAAACUACAAGUCUAAACUAACAAAGAAAAAAACACUGUUCAUAAAAUAUUUGGCAUAAUCCCCCCUAUCUACAUAUGUUAAACAUGGUAGUACGACAUAUGUAACUUAAUUUCUUACUUGAUUACUUCUCAUAUCCUUGUGCAAAUGUUUAACCUUUUUAGAUUGUUAUGACCAUAGGCAAACUAGCUCAAGGUUUUUGGAGUUUUCUGUCACUAUCUUCUUACGUUAACUAGAAACAACUAGGUUUUGUCGUUGCAGAACAACUCCCAGCUCUUUUUUUUCCAUGUAGAAGGUAAAGAACAACUUUCCCAAUGCCACCCAUUCCAAAGAAUGAAGUGUUGCUGCCAUCAGUCUCCUCAUAACUGCCUUUUGCAUGCAUCAUUUGCUAAAUUGACCAAAGCUCUGAUUUCUCACGUUAAAGCAGCAUGCCUGCAUAAAUACAGAAUGAAGAAGAUGCUGGAAAUGGGGAUGGAGAAGAGGAGGAUAGAUGCUCUUUUAUUAGAGAUGGUAGAAGUUCCCAAAUUGGGGAGUUAUGUUUCUUUGAGAAACUCUGAAAUUUUCACACCGUUCAAAAAGCAUCAUUCUUUGCAUCUUAUCUUGUGAUUCAAUUAUAUCUUAAGAUUGGCAUCCAGGCAUAUAGCUUUUUGUGAGGGCAUGGCAUGCACAUGGCUUUAUGACAAUUGCCGUCUAUCUUUUCUGACUUUUUGUAACCUCAUUGAUAGAUUCAGCCAUCAAUGUUUCCUCACUUUUUAAUGGCAGCUUUGAAUAUGGAUAACAUUUAGGCAAAGGCGCACAGUUUUAUGAUCAAAGCUCACUUCCUCUGCAACAAUGGUGUACCAAUGAUCCAUUUUUGGGAUAAAACUCGUUGUUGCUUCUUAAUUGUUUAAUAUCCUUUUAGUUGUUAGCUUUUCAUUGUUCCAUUUGAAUCCAAGAUCUUUUAAAAUUAUUACAAGUAUGAUUUUUCUAUUAAACAUCAUUAAGCAAUUUUAAUAGUAUCUUUGGAUCGGGACAAUAGCUUGGAAAAAGGAAACACAUCAAAGCUCACUUCUUUAUGUACUGAUACUCUAAAAUAUUUUUGGAUAAAAUGGAUUAUUGGUUCUUA